rnacentral:lncRNA from 1 species
UCACCACGUCCUCCAAGGCCUCCCAGAACCGCAUCUUCUCCUCCCCCUCCGAUCCCACAUGCGGCGCAUAGGCACUACACACGUUCAGGGUAAACCCCCGAAUGACCAACUUGAUAGUCAUCAACCUAUCGUUGAUCCUCUUCACCUCCACUACCUGACCUCUAAGCUCUUCAUCUACCAAGAUGCCAACUCCAUUCCUACGCCUGUCGCUCCCAGAGUACCACAGCUUGUAACCGUCCACAUCCCUAGCCUUAGACCCUACCCACUUGGUCUCUUGGACACACGCAAGGUUGAUCCUUCUCUUCCUAAGAAUCUUCACCAGCUCUAUGGACUUCCCCUGAAGGGUCCCUAUAUUCCAAGACCCAACCCUCAGCCUACCGUCGCUAUCCACGCGCCCCCCACUAACCACUCCCGCCCCCACCACGGCCCCACACCCCAACCCCCUCGGACAUGACCCUAUCCACCCAUUACCGCCCACAGCCACAACUACACGAAAGUAUAGGAAAAUAUAAAGAUAUACACGGUGGUAGUAUCAAAGCAGCAACAAGAAAAUACAAGGCUCACACAAAUUCAAAGGAAUACUCCCAAAACAAAACUAUACUCAAUUAGGGGCAAACACCACUGGACUCAACACCCACAGCCCCAAAUGCAGGUUCCCAGCCAAUAACCCAAUCCAAAGCAGUGGAAGAAACGACCACAGCAACUAUAAAUAGUUGCCAUAGCCAUUUUCUUUACUUAGCUUUUUGAUGAAUAUUGACAUUUUUGAGAAAUUGUAGUUUCUUAGUAAAUUUCCUUAAGGAGAUCAAUGAAAUAAUUAGUGUAGUUAGUCCGGUUAAUUAGUGUUGAUCUAGAAAUUGUUGGUAAAAUUUUGUCUUGUUUAAUCGAAGAAUUACCCAUUUGUGGUUCUUGUUUCAUUGAUUGUUCAAGCUCGUGUUUGUGUUGAGGUAAGGGUAUCAAGUCCCUUGUUGCUCAUAAUUUCAAUACUUAGAUAUUAAUCCAUAUAUCCUUCUUUUUUUCCCUUUUUCUUUUCUUGUUCUUCUCUCUUUGAUUCUUAUCACCAUGGGUGAUAAAGAUGUCAUUUGGGCAUUCAAGACAGGACAGGCCCUUGUGGGUUAUUUCCUAAAUAGUCACUUUUGGGUUAUUUUUGCAGAGGUAAUAACUAUAAAUAGUUGCCUUAGCCAUUUACAUUCUUAGGUUUGGUUGAAUUGAGAGCUUUGAAUCUUGUAGUAGAAUUCUCUAAGUGAAGCCUAGCAUUAGAGUAGUUCAUAGUUGAUAAUCGUAGAUAAGAGUGUUUAGUGUGGAAUCUCUAAGUUGCUCGUGUUAAAUUCUUCUAGCUUAAUCAAUCAUCGAGUUACCCUCUUUGAAGAUUCCAAUUUGAUUUUCUCGUCUUUGAUUGAAUCGGGUUUAUUGUUGUUCGGUUGGAUUCAAUUGAGAGGCAAAGGCAGAGUCUUUUGUUGCUCGUAAAUCCGAUCGAAUUUCGAUAAUUCCACAUAUCCUUUUGUUUAUUUCAAUUUUUCGCAUUUUGGUUCUAGUUUCCAAUUAGAAUCGUUAUCACUCUCCCUCCUAGCCUGCUUGCUAGAGUCUCUAUCUAUAUUAUUUUAUUGAUGGGAUAUAUCAAGUUCUUUUCCCCUAUUUAUAUGUAGCCUAGAAAAUGCUUAAAAAAAUGAAUAUGACCCCCAAAAUCAGAACAUGUUCCAUAUUGCCCACUUUUUCCCUCACAUAACUCAUCCCUAUAUCUAAGUUACUCGGACUUUCCACUUUCGGUGCCACACCCGUGUCGACACGACAUGGGUGUAGGUGUGGGAUCCGUACCCGAUCUGGUCAACCGAUUUUGGGUACUUUGACCAAAAUCGACUAAGAAAGUCCGGAUAGAAUUGAGAAAUUCUGUAAUUAAAACAAAAGCUAAGGUAAAAUUGAAGAAAAU